GAAAGCUUGCUUUCUUGCUGGCGACCGGCGCACGGGUGAGUAACACGUAUCCACCUGCCCUUUACUCGGGGAUAGCCUUUCGAAAGAAAGAUUAAUACCCGAUGGCUCCGCAUGGUUAAAGGAUUCCGGUAAAGGAUGGGGAUGCGUUCCAUUAGGUUGUUGGUGAGGUAACGGCUCACCAAGCCUUCGAUGGAUAGGGGUUCUGAGAGGAAGGUCCCCCACAUUGGAACUGAGACACGGUCCAAACUCCUACGGGAGGCAGCAGUGAGGAAUAUUGGUCAAUGGGCGCUAGCCUGAACCAGCCAAGUAGCGUGAAGGAUGAAGGCUUAUGGGUCGUAAACUUCUUUUAUAUAAGAAUAAGUGCAGUAUGUAUACUGUUUUGUAUGUAUUAUAUGAAUAAGGAUCGGCUAACUCCGUGCCAGCAGCCGCGGUAAUACGGAGGAUCCGAGCGUUAUCCGGAUUUAUUGGGUUUAAAGGGAGCGUAGGUGGACUGGUAAGUCAGUUGUGAAAGUUUGCGGCUCAACCGUAAAAUUGCAGUUGAUACUGUCAGUCUUGAGUACAGUAGAGGUGGGCGGAAUUCGUGGUGUAGCGGUGAAAUGCUUAGAUAUCACGAAGAACUCCGAUUGCGAAGGCAGCUCACUGGACUGCAACUGACACUGAUGCUCGAAAGUGUGGGUAUCAAACA
rnacentral:rRNA from 1 species